rnacentral:rRNA from 1 species
GACAGAGGGUGCAAACGUUGCUCGGAAUCACUGGGCGUAAAGGGCGUGUAGGCGGGACGGUAAGUCGGGCGUGAAAUCCCUAGGCUCAACCUAGGAACUGCACUCGAAACUACCAUUCUUGAGUGUCGGAGAGGAAGGCGGAAUUCCUGGUGUAGAGGUGAAAUUCGUAGAUAUCAGGAGGAACACCAGUGGCGAAGGCGGCUUUCUGGACGAUAACUGACGCUGAGACGCGAAAGCGUGGGGAGCAAACAGG